AUUAAGUUGUUAGUAUUAACCAAAUUAAGAUAACACAUUUACACACACACAUACACACACAUAUUUCUCCAGUUAUAAGGAGGCCGGCCACUUCCAAUAAACACAGAGUGUAUGUAUUGUUCCCGUUGCUUUUGGACAGAUGAUCACAAGCGAGUGUAAAAGACUACGCAGAGAUUCUGACAAAAGCACGGGAACCUAGAAAAGUGCUUUAUAUUUUAAAAAAAAAUUAAUAAAUAAAAAACAAUUGUUACAUUAAAAAUCUUUUUAUUUACUACGGUCACCUUUAUCAAAUUCAACAGAUCAAUUUGCCGCCUGAAGAAGAAAGGUAAUCAAAUUUAUAAUUAAUUUAUACGUGUAAAUCGAUUUUACGUAACUAGGCACUCCCCGCCUUAUUUUUGAAUUACUACA